rnacentral:rRNA from 1 species
UACGAAGGGGGCUAGCGUUGCUCGGAAUCACUGGGCGUAAAGCGCACGUAGGCGGAUUGCUAAGUCAGGGGUGAAAUCCUGGAGCUCAACUCCAGAACUGCCUUUGAUACUGGCGAUCUUGAGUCCGGGAGAGGUGAGUGGAACUGCGAGUGUAGAGGUGAAAUUCGUAGAUAUUCGCAAGAACACCAGUGGCGAAGGCGGCUC